GGUGGUUCUCGGGUGACACACCCCGGAAUCGGGCUCCCUCCUCUCUGGUUCCAGGUGCGACACCUGAGAGCUGAA
rfam:Myotis brandtii contig259978, whole genome shotgun sequence.